rnacentral:rRNA from 1 species
GUCCACGCCGUAAACGAUGGAUGCUAGCCGUCAGCAAGCUUGCUUGUUGGUGGCGCAGCUAACGCAUUAAGCAUCCCGCCUGGGGAGUACGGCCGCAAGGUUAAAACUCAAAGGAAUUGACGGGGGCCCGCACAAGCGGUGGAGCAUGUGGUUUAAUUCGACGCAACGCGCAGAACCUUACCAACCCUUGACAUGUCAGGUCGGUUUCCAGAGAUGGAUUCCUCCCAGCAAUGGGCCUGAACACAGGUGCUGCAUGGCUGUCGU